UACGGGGGGGGGCAAGCGUUGUUCGGAGUUACUGGGCGUAAAGGGCUCGUAGGCGGUUUGUCGCGUCGGGAGUGAAAACACCGGGCUUAACUCGGUGCUUGCUUUCGAUACGGGCAGACUAGAGGUAUGCAGGGGAGAACGGAAUUCCUGGUGUAGCGGUGAAAUGCGCAGAUAUCAGGAGGAACACCGGUGGCGAAGGCGGGUCUCUGGGCCGAGUAACUGACGCUGGAGGAGCGAAAGCGUGGGGAGCGAACAGGAUUA
rnacentral:rRNA from 1 species